CCUACGGGGGGGCAGCAGUGGGGAAUAUUGCACAAUGGGGGGAACCCUGAUCCAGCGACGCCGCGUGAGUGAAGAAGUAUUUCGGUAUGUAAAGCUCUAUCAGCAGGGAAGAAAGAAAUGACGGUACCUGACUAAGAAGCCCCGGCUAACUACGUGCCAGCAGCCGCGGUAAUACGUAGGGGGCAAGCGUUAUCCGGAUUUACUGGGUGUAAAGGGAGCGUAGACGGCGAUGCAAGUCUGAAGUGAAAGGCGGGGGCCCAACCCCCGGACUGCUUUGGAAACUGUAUGGCUGGAGUGCAGGAGAG
rnacentral:rRNA from 1 species